GUGCUCACUUUGGCAGCAAAUAUACUAAAAUUUGAAUGAUACAGAGAAGAUUAGCAUGGUCCCUGGGCGAGGAUGACAUGCAAAUUUGUGAAGCAUUCCAUAUUUUU
rnacentral:snRNA from 1 species